rnacentral:rRNA from 1 species
CCCUUAGAUGUCCUGGGCCGCACGCGCGUUACACUGAUGCAUUCAACGAGCCUAUAACCUUGGCCGAGAGGCCUGGGCGAUCUUGUUAACGUGCAUCGUGAUAGGGAUAGAUUAUUGAAAUUAUUAAUCUUGAACGAGGAAUUCCUAGUAAACGCAGAUCAUCAAUCUGCAUUGAUUACGUCCCUGCCCUUUGUACACACCGCCCGUCGCACCUACCGAUUGGAUGGUCCGGUGAAGCCUCGGGAUUGUGGUUCUUGCCGCUUUAUUGUGGCGUGACCGCGAGAACUUGUCUAAACCUUAUCAUCUAGAGGAAGGUGAAGUCGUAACA